rnacentral:rRNA from 1 species
AGCGAACGCUGGCGGCAGGCUCAACACAUGCAAGUCGAACGCCCCGCAAGGGGAGUGGCAGACGGGUGAGUAACACGUGGGAACGUACCCUUUGGUUCGGAAUAACUUGGGGAAACUCAAGCUAAUACCGGAUAAGCCCUUAUGGGGAAAGGUUUACUGCCGAAGGAUCGGCCCGCGUCUGAUUAGCUAGUUGGUGAGGUAAUGGCUCACCAAGGCGACGAUCAGUAGCUGGUCUGAGAGGAUGAUCAGCCACACUGGGACUGAGACACGGCCCAGACUCCUACGGGAGGCAGCAGUGGGGAAUAUUGGACAAUGGGGGCAACCCUGAUCCAGCCAUGCCGCGUGAGUGAUGAAGGCCUUAGGGUUGUAAAGCUCUUUUACCCGGGACGAUAAUGACUGUACCGGGAGAAUAAGCCCCGGCUAACUACGUGCCAGCCGCCGCAGUAA